UUAUUGAGAGUUUGAUCCUAGCUCAGGGUGAAUGCUGGCGGCAUGGAUAAGGCAUGCAAGUCGAAAGGGUUUAGACCCUUGGCAGACGAGGUAGUAACACGUAGGAACGUACCCCACAGUCGGGCAUAAUCGGCCGAAAGGUCGGAUAAUUCCCGAUGGCCUGGGCGCAUCACAUUGCAUGUGAUGCCAGUAAGCAGUAAGUGGAAGGCAGCAGGCAGUCAAAUUCAAACCGAAUUUUUGCCUUCUACUUUCUAUUUUCUGCCUACUGGUCAUCGUGUGUAGCGCGAUGCGCUUAGUAAAGAUUUAUCGCUGUGGGAGCGGCCUGCGUAAUAUCAGCUAGUUGGUAGGGUAACGGCCUACCAAGGCUAUGACGUUUAGGGGAGGUGAGAGCCUGACCCCCACCGAUGGGACUGCGACACGGCCCAUACUCCUACGGGAGGCUGCAGCCGAGAAUAUUCCGCAAUGGGCGAAAGCCUGACGGAGCGAUGCCGCGUGGUGGAUGAAGUGCUUCGGUACGUAAACAUCUUUUAUCGGGGAGGAAGUCAUUGACGUUACCCGAUGAAUAAGGGGCUCCUAACUCUGUGCCAGCAGGAGCGGUAAUACAGAGGCCCCAAGCAUUACCCGGAAUUACUGGGCGUAAAGGGUGUGUAGGUGGUCGUGUUAGUCGUUUGUUAAAACCCGAGGCUCAACCUCGGAGCGGCGGACGAAACGGCACGACUUGAGGGUGUGAGAGGUGCACGGAACUCAUGGUGUAGGGGUGAAAUCCGUUGAUAUCAUGGGGAACACCGAAGGCGAAGGCAGUGCACUGGCGCAUUCCUGACACUCAAACACGAAAGCGUAGGUAGCGAACGGGAUUAGAUACCCCGGUAGUCUACGCCCUAAACGAUCCUCGCUGGCUUUCCGGAGUAUCGACCCUCUGGGAGGCGAAGCUAACGCGUUAAGCGAGGCGCCUGGGUAGUACGGUCGCAAGAUUGAAACUCAAAGGAAUAGACGGGGGCUUGCACAAGCGGUGGAGCGUGUGGCUUAAUUCGUCGCUAAGCGAAGAACCUUACCAGGGCUAGAAAUCCUACUGCACGCCUAGCGAAAG
rnacentral:rRNA from 1 species